GUGACUCUUUCUAAUUCUCGAUUUCGUGUCUUUGUAAGCUUACACUAAACCUGGCCUGUUUUAUUAGCUUGUUUAAAUCGACGCAUCUUUGUUGACGAGACACUUAUACUUCUUGGCAGUGACUGAGUUUCAAGAAACUUUGAAAAACGAUUUUGAGAAGAAACCUGUUUCCUUAUUCCUAACUAAUCUAUCUUGACCUUGUGAAGACUUCGUCCUACCCCAGGUUAUCAAAUAUCAGUGAUAAGAAGUACAGGAUCACAACAACUUAUUCGAGCAACUACUUUCUAACUGGUAUCUAUCUUGUGAAGACUCUCUCCUCAACCCCAAGUUAUCAGUGACUGAGUUUCAAGAAACUUUGAAAAACGAUUUUGAGAAGAAACCUGUUUCCUUAUUCCUAACUAAUCUAUCUUGACCUUGUGAAGACUUCGUCCUACCCCAGGUUAUCAAAUAUCAGUGAUAAGAAGUACAGGAUCACAACAACUUAUUCGAGCAACUACUUUCUAACUGGUAUCUAUCUUGUGAAGACUCUCUCCUCAACCCCAAGUUAUCAGGCAGUAGUGUUGAAAACAGAAUAUAUUGUUUGAAGACACGCUUCAGUAGUGAGAUAUUCAAUCUACUUCCUAACUGUGUAAUCACUGCUAACUCCCGAGAGGAACCUAGUGCACACUUCAGGUACCAGAAUCCGGUCAGCGAUCAAGCAGCGUAUUCCAAUUUCUUUCUAAAUUAGAAAUAGAACAACCUUGAUCUUGAAUAUCAAGGUACCAGAGUCCGGUCAGAGAUUAAGCUGCGUUUCCGAUAUUUUCCUACUAAAGAUCAACAUUUAUCUUCAAUAUUAAGAAUAUCUUGAUUUACUGAACAAUGGACAACUAUUUAAAGAACGGACAAGAAAUAUUCCUCAAGUUCUGCACCUCUGAUGACAAACGACCCACUAUGCUGCCAAGAGCUCCAGAUCAGACGUAUAUAGACAGGUACCCGGAAAGUAGUGGUUUCAGAGACCAACGAAAACGUCAGUCUGAUUAUGAGGCCGAAGUUAUGGUGUAUAGGGCAUUGGAGAAAUUACCGGACGGUAUGAUCGUCGUUCUUCAUAACUUUGAAUUCACGCACCACCAAUAUUGUUUGUGUGAUCAGAGUCAUUUGCGGGACAAAAAGACGUGCAAAGGGUGCAAGAACUCGUCGAAUAAGGAAGGGGAAUGUGAUUUUUUAAUUUUAUGUCCAGGCUCCAUUGUUAUAAUCGAAGUUAAGAACAUGUCGCACAUUGAAAUCGAUGAUGUUGCGGUUGACAAGGAAAAUCAUUUCCGAGCAUUAUCUGGUACGUUCACAAAAUCGGUUGACCAGAGAAAGAAGAUAGAAUCUCUGAUUCAAUGUAUAGACAAGGACAUAACUAUCCGGCAGUUCACUGCGUAUCCUAAUUUCAGUAAUCAAUUUAAAGGACAGUUCCAGGCUAGUGAAGAUACAAAACUUCAGCUAAGCGAUUCAGAAUUAUCAACUGUGAUAUUUCAUGAGGACAUUGUCGAUGGUAACAAGAUCAACGAUAACAAUAAUAGGGAACCCAUAACUGCAGGAACAUCAGAGGAACCAGCCCUGAAGAAGAGAAAAAUUAUUUCUCUCGGUUUUGACAUCUCAUCAGACGAGGACUUAUCAAAUUUUGGUUUUUGGUGGAAUAACAACGCAACAAUAGCUCAAGAUACAAGAAUUAAUCAUGAUGCCUUUCAGAAAGUUAGAAAUAUGUUACUCGCUAUCUGGGCUACCGAUAAAAACUGCGAUCAAUCGAAAUGUAGUUUAGCAAACUGCAUAUUAAACAUUGAUGAACGGCUCAGAUCAGGAAAAUUUACAUUUUUACCAAAAAAAGGGAAGAAUCGUGUACCGAAUCCUGGAGUUGUAACAGCUCCUGAUGUUAUCAGAAACUUCGUUAAAGUGGAGAACCUGACAGUAGAACAAUGUAAAGCGUUCGAAUCAAGCGAGAAUCUGUUGUGGAUUAAUGGACCCGCUGGAGCGGGGAAAAGUGUGAUACUUUGCGGUCGAAUAAUCAAACUUGUACAACUAAAUGAGGACAAUAAAGUUGUGUUAUUCAAAUUCGGCGGUGAUGGUAACAACUGUCAGCUUUAUCAGCGUGCAUUAAAGAAUGCUGAUGUAGAAUAUCAAGAGACCAGCAUGUCUGACGUCACAGAACUAGUUACUCUAAUAUCAGAGAGUGAGUGUAAAGUUAUCAUUGUAGAGAUAACACGUUGGGAUAGACAGAAGUUAAUUGAUACAAUCAGUGCUGUGACCAACUGUCACAUAUUUAUCGAUGAUAUACAGGAUUUAUUGUAUUGGAGCUCAACUGAGGAGUGUAGUGUACUGAUGGACAAGUUGUUAUUAUUAAAGUACUCUGUCAUGGUUGCAUGUGACAUGGCACAGGGUUAUUGGAAUUUGAGUAAACAAGAAUUAAUUGACAAACUAAGAAUGAUAACUUUCAAACUAUCAUCCACUCAGUUGGUACGUUUAUCAAUGAGCCUUAGAAAUACAUGUGAUUUAUCUGACAUCUCAUGUGUAAUACGAGAACAAUUAAGAGAAAUAUAUUCAGGAAUACCUGAUGUAUUAGAUAUGAUUUUACCUACACAAUUACCAGGACACUUCAUACACGGUACAUUACCUGUCAUACAUGUGUUUAAUGAUUUCAAUGUUACUAGUAUUAUGCAUGUUAGACGUGUAUUUAAUAAUGAAUUAGAAAGAUUGUGUGUUACGGAUGGAUUAAAUUAUUCUGAUAUAGGUAUAGUACAUACUCAUGUCACUAGUAGUGAAAUGUCACUAGUUAAUGACAGUGUUAAUAUGAGAUGUGUUAACACUGCUAGUAAGAUUGCAGUGUGUAACAGUAGGUUUAGUUAUUCUGCUCAGUGGCCAGCUGUAAUAGUACUGCACACAGUGUGGUACGGUGAGGAGUGGGACCUGACUCAACUUUACUUAGCGUUAUCCAGAGCACGUGUUUACUGCUCUGUUGUUAUAUUCCCAUGGGAGGGUAGAACAUUAGACGAUUCACCUCACAUGUUACCUUUGUUACGUAAACUGAGUAGCUUUGCUCGUAUUAUACGGCAUUAAAUUUAAUAUUACUGUGUAAUAACGUUGGUGGGUGACUAGUUCUAUUUUUCAGAAACAUGUAUACACAAGCCUUUAAUGUGUGGCUAUUGAUUACAUAUGAAAUAUUAAUAAUUGACGAUUUUCGAAAUUUUGACCCAACCGGGAUUCGAACUCGCAACCUCCGGGUUAAAGGGCCAAGACUAUCAGCCAAUUACGCCACUGAGGCGACAUUUGUACAAAUAUAUUAAGCUAGCAAUUAAAACUUGCAGAUAAUUUCACCCACUAACCAAAGUAUUACUAUUAUUUAAUUGUGUUUCCUUUUUGAUUUAUUGCUAAAUAUUACAGUGUUUUGUAUCGAAAUGUUUUAUACAAUAAUGUGAAUGCGCCAGAUUGAACAUAGUAAUCAUAUUUUUCAUUCGUGGUUUGGUCUUGGAAAACAACAAAAUUACCCCAAAAUAUGAAGAAUGUCAAAAAGUAAAAACGGGACCACUAGUCUGCCUAAUAAACUAUUGACUAUUGAUAUAAUUCGUUUACAGUUAUAAUAGCAGAAAA